AUUGAACGCUGGCGGCAGGCCUAACACAUGCAAGUCGAGCGGAUGACGGGAGCUUGCUCCUUGAUUCAGCGGCGGACGGGUGAGUAAUGCCUAGGAAUCUGCCUGGUAGUGGGGGACAACGUUUCGAAAGGAACGCUAAUACCGCAUACGUCCUACGGGAGAAAGCAGGGGACCUUCGGGCCUUGCGCUAUCAGAUGAGCCUAGGUCGGAUUAGCUAGUUGGUGGGGUAAUGGCUCACCAAGGCGACGAUCCGUAACUGGUCUGAGAGGAUGAUCAGUCACACUGGAACUGAGACACGGUCCAGACUCCUACGGGAGGCAGCAGUGGGGAAUAUUGGACAAUGGGCGAAAGCCUGAUCCAGCCAUGCCGCGUGUGUGAAGAAGGUCUUCGGAUUGUAAAGCACUUUAAGUUGGAAGGAAGGGCAGUAAGUUAAUACCUUGCUGUUUUGACGUUACCGACAGAAUAAGCACCGGUUAACUCUGUGCCAGCCGCCGCUGUAACAC
rnacentral:rRNA from 1 species